GAUGAACGCUGGCGGCGUGCCUAAUACAUGCAAGUCGAGCGAACAGACGAGGAGCUUGCUCCUCUGACGUUAGCGGCGGACGGGCGAGUAACACGUGGAUAACCUACCUAUAAGACUGGGAUAACUUCGGGAAACCGGAGCUAAUACCGGAUAAUAUAUUGAACCGCAUGGUUCAAUAGUGAAAGACGGUUUUGCUGUCACUUAUAGAUGGAUCCGCGCCGCAUUAGCUAGUUGGUAAGGUAACGGCUUACCAAGGCAACGAUGCGUAGCCGACCUGAGAGGGUGAUCGGCCACACUGGAACUGAGACACGGUCCAGACUCCUACGGGAGGCAGCAGUAGGGAAUCUUCCGCAAUGGGCGAAAGCUUGACGGAGCAACGCCGCGUGAGUGAUGAAGGUCUUCGGAUCGUAAAACUCUGUUAUUAGGGAAGAACAAAUGUGUAGGUAACUAUGCACGUCUUGACGGUACCUAAUCAGAAAGCCACGGCUAACUACGUG
rnacentral:rRNA from 1 species